GAUGAACGCUGGCGGCGUGCCUAAUACAUGCAAGUCGAGCGAACAGACGAGGAGCUUGCUCCUCUGACGUUAGCGGCGGACGGGUGAGUAACACGUGGAUAACCUACCUAUAAGACUGGGAUAACUUCGGGAAACCGGAGCUAAUACCGGAUAAUAUAUUGAACCGCAUGGUUCAAUAGUGAAAGACGGUUUUGCUGUCACUUAUAGAUGGAUCCGCGCCGCAUUAGCUAGUUGGUAAGGUAACGGCUUACCAAGGCAACGAUGCGUAGCCGACCUGAGAGGGUGAUCGGCCACACUGGAACUGAGACACGGUCCAGACUCCUACGGGAGGCAGCAGUAGGGAAUCUUCCGCAAUGCGCGAAAGCCUGACGGAGCAACGCCGCGUGAGUGAUGAAGGUCUUCGGAUCGUAAAACUCUGUUAUUAGGGAAGAACAAAUGUGUAAGUAACUAUGCACGUCUUGACGGUACCUAAUCAGAAAGCCACGGCUAGCUACGUG
rnacentral:rRNA from 1 species